UAAACGUCUCAGUUCGGAUUGUAGUCUGCAACUCGACUACAUGAAGCUGGAAUCGCUAGUAAUCGCAGAUCAGAAUGCUGCGGUGAAUACGUUCCCGGGUCUUGUACACACCGCCCGUCACACCAUGGGAGUCGGAAAUGCCCGAAGCCGGUGACCCAACCAAAAGGAGGGAGCCGUCGAAGGCAGGUCUGAUAACUGGGGUGAAGUCGUAACAAGGUAUC
rnacentral:rRNA from 1 species